ensembl:lncRNA
CUGAUCUGGAAGGGUUCAUGGUAUUCUCAAGGGCCACAGAGCAAGUUUACAGGUAGAGAGACAGAGAGUGCAGACUUGGGGCGCUGUGUUUAUUUGGGUCUGAGAAUAAGUAUAUAGGGUUUUGUGGGUUCACUUUUUAUUUGCUAAUUUAAAGCAUAAUAGUGGGAAUUAGGGCAUGGAAGGAAUAAAUGGGGUCACUCAAAUAGUCAGUUUUCUAGGUUACCCAAGACUUUUCUGAAAGAGGGAACUUUACAGGAAGGGGUGGCCUAAUUUCUUAUCUGGUUGUUUUGCUAGUAGUUAUGUCAUAUAACUGGUAAUAUUUAUAUUCAAGAUGAAUGUAUUUUGAAAUGAAUGCCUUGGGAAUCAAAUCUUAAUUACAAGCUCUUCCAUUACAAUCAAAGUUCUUAAUGUCAGGUGCUUACACUUCACUCCUCUACAGUAGAUGGAAUGUGAUUUCUAGCUCUUUAUGAGUGAAGUUAAAAUUCGUCCUUCAAACUGUGAACCAGCUUCUGAAAGGUCCUGUGCUGAGCUCUCACCACCCUGUUUCAGGCCUUAAAGAAGAGUAAACGGGACAUAGUAACAGUGUAACAGAAUUUGUCCUCCUGGGCCUCACUCAGGAUCCUGAAGGGCAAAAAAUUAUCGUGCCAUCUGUGAACAAAGACAGUUUUAUUUCUUCCUUCUCACCUGCAUAUCUUUGAUUCCCUUUCCUUGUCUUAUUGCAUGAGCUAUUAGUUGCAGUACAAUUUUGAAAAGCAGUGGUGGAAAAGGACAUCUUUAUCUUAUUCCUCAUCUUAGCGGCAGCCCAGGGCAGAGGAUUUGAGGAAGAUGGUGGAGUAAGAAGCACCAGAAAUUUGCCUUUCCACCUGGAGAAUAACUGCACUGGCGGGUUCUAGCUGAUGUAAUUUAUUGGAACUUUGGAGUCUAUCAAAGGCUUACAACUUCCAGGCAAGGCUUCAAUGGAGCUAGAUAUCAAAGAAUAAGACAUUCGAAAUCAACCACAUAUACUAGGGAAAUUGGGAAGUCACCUUGCAUGCCCAGGGGAAGGAUCAGGCUCAGAAAAGACCUGGGAAGACCUUAAGUGUACACCUCAGGCUGAUCCUUGGCACAGAGAGAGCCUACAACCAUAAAAAAGCAAAACAAUAGCAAUAGCAACUAAAACAAGAAGAACACCAAAAAUCCAUAAACCUGGGGAAGGGGAGAGAAUCUGAUUUCUAAAGUUACCAGAGUGUUAGAUUUAAAAGUCUGGUUUUCAAAAUAAAACCAUGAAGAAUACAAAGAAACAGGAAGGUAUGGCCCAUUCAAAUGAAAAAAAAAAUGAAUCAACAGAAGUUGUCCCCAAAAUACCUGAUGACUAGACAAAUACUUUAACACCACUGACUCAAAGAUGCUCAAGAAGUAAUAGAAGAUAUGGCAAGUUUCAAGAACAUUAUGUAUGAAUAAAAUGUAAAUAUGAAUAUGAAUAAAAUGGGAAUAUAAAUAAAGAGAUAGAAAACCUUUGUACCAACAAACCUCUACAAAGAAAUAGCAUAUUUUUAGAGCAUGUAUACAGAGAUUCAGAUUUAAGGACUUGCCAUUAUUAUAUAAAAUACAUCUUAAUAUCAAAUGUCAAAUAUCUCUGGAUUUAGCUUUUUUGUUUUUGUCUUGUAUGACCUUAUAAUAGUCUUUCAAAUUAUCCAUUGUAGUUGCUUGUUUCUAUAUUUCUCUUCAAGAAAAAUUGUUUUCUUUUGGGACAAAUUUUUGAAUUGGAAUUUUUAUUGUGGAUGUUAUCCCAUCUGAGUUGUAUUGAAAUUUUAGUAAAUUGAUUAGCAAUAAUUUGUAACAUUUUCAUUAAAUAUAUUUGCCAUAUACAAAGACCUAAGCUUUUUACUUCACUCCAGUACCCUCUUGGAUUUGAGAAUUUCAAAUAUACACUGAUUAAUUGAAAAUAAAGGUUUCUUGUUCACACAAC